rnacentral:tRNA from 1 species
GGCCCCGUAGCGCAGAGGCAGACGCGCCGCACUGCUCGUGCGGAGCACGCCGGUUCGAAUCCGGCCGGGCCCGC